rnacentral:lncRNA from 1 species
UCAGGCGGCGACUCAGACGAGGUCAGGUACGGCUCCGGCGAGGUCUGCCGGCGGCUAUAGGGUUUUGGAAGAAAUAAAAGUGAGAGUGAUAAAGGAAAUUAGGGUUUUAUUAGAAGGGUAUUGGGUUUAUAUAGUUAGAUAGAAAUUGGAGGGGUAGGAAGGGAAAUUAAAAUAGUUUAAGUUAUUUCACAUGGGUAAUGGGUUGACCCAACCCAGUAACCCGACC